CAUCAGACAUGUACAUUAAUUAAGAUUUUACAUACCGUCGUCGGCAGACCUUCUAAAAUAGAAAGUCUUUUUAUAUAUAUAUAUAAAAAGACAGAUCAAGGUGUAGACAAUAUUAAUGCCUAAGCGAGUUACUAUAAGAAUUUAUUUCAAUUAUAGUAUUUAAUACUAAAAAUUGCCGGACUUAAAAGUAAUAAAUAA
rnacentral:rRNA from 1 species